AGUUGCUGCCACAAAAGCAAGAAGGAUCACCAUUCAGCUGUAGCAACCUCCACGGAGGAAACAAGAGAGGAAAUGACAUGUUCUCCAUUCUGCCGGAAGGCAAACUUCCAGCUACAAUCGGAGGUACUUUCUCUGCAGGGGGUGGCCAGCUUGAAGAAAAUGCUUUUAUGUGCUAAUAUCUUUACAUUGCUGAAGAGCCCAUAACUCCAAAGACUCUCAAGUUACUUUGUAAA
rnacentral:lncRNA from 1 species